rnacentral:tRNA from 1 species
GAAAGUAUAGCUCAGUGGUAGAAUGCCUGCUUAGCAUGCAUGAGGUCCUGGGUUCAACCCCCAGUACCUCCA